rnacentral:rRNA from 1 species
AGUGAACGCUGGCAGUAGGCCUAACACAUGCAAGUCGAACGGCAGCACAGGAGAGCUUGCUCUCUGGGUGGCGAGUGGCGGACGGGUGAGGAAUACAUCGGAAUCUACUCUGUCGUGGGGGAUAACGUAGGGAAACUUACGCUAAUACCGUAUACGACCUACGGGUGAAAGCAGGGGAUCUUCGGACCUUGCGCGAGUGAAUGAGCCGAUGUCGGAUUAGCUAGUUGGCGGGGGAAAGGCCCACCAAGGCGACGAUCCGUAGCUGGUCUGAGAGGAUGAGCAGCCACACUGGAACUGAGACACGGGCCAGACUCCUACGGGAGGCAGCAGUGGGGAAUUUUGGACAAUGGGGGCAACCCUGAUCCAGCCAUGCCGAGUGAGUGAAGAAGGCCUUCGGGUUGUAAAGCUCUUUCGGCCGGGAAGAAAUCGCAACGCCUAAUACGGGGUGUGGAUGACGGUACCGGAAUAAGAAGCACCGGCUAACUACGUGCCAGCCGCCGCCGUAA